UCGAACGGGAAAGUGGAGCAAUCCAUGAGUACAGUGGCGUACGGGUGAGUAACACGUGGGUAAUCUACCUCUUAGUGGGGAAUAACCCUGGGAAACCGGGGCUAAUACCGCAUAACACCGCAAGGUCAAAGCAGCAAUGCGUUUGGAGAGGGGGUCGCGGCUGAUUAGCUAGUUGGCGGGGUAACGGCCCACCAAGGCGAAGAUCGGUAUCCGGCCUGAGAGGGCGCACGGACACACUGGAACUGAAACACGGGCCAGACUCCUACGGGAGGCAGCAGUGGGGAAUCUUGCACAAUGGGGGCAACCCUGAUGCAGCGACGCCGCGUGAGCGAUGAAGCCCUUCGGGGUGUAAAGCUCUUUCGGCAGGGAAGAUUAUGACGGUACCUGCAGAAGCAGCUGCGGCUAACUACGUGCCAGCAGCCGCGGUAAUACGUAGGCAGCAAGCGUUGUUCGGAGUUACUGGGCGUAAAGGGUGUGUAGGCGGCCUUCUAAGUUUGGUGUGAAAUCUCCCGGCUCAACCGGGAGGGUGCGCCGAAGACUGGGGGGCUAGAGUGCGGGAUGGGAGAGUAGAAUUCCUGGUGUAGCGGUGAAAUGCGUAGAUAUCAGGAGGAAUACCUGUGGUGUAGACGGCUCUCUGGACCGCAACUGACGCUGAGACACGAAAGCGUGGGUAGCAAACAGGAUUAGAUACCCUGGUAGUCCACGCCCUAAACGAUGCAUAUUUGGGUGUAGGUCAUUCAGUUGAUCUGUGCC
rnacentral:rRNA from 1 species